ACAGCUUUGGUCCUGGGCUUACCGUUAUUUUUUGUUGAGUUUAUACAUGCAAGCCUCCGCAAACCAGUGAAAAUGCCCAAAAAUCCCAGAAAGAUAAAUGGAGCAGGCAUCAGGCUCUAUCAACCUAGGCCCAUAACGCCUUGCUACGCCACACCCCCACGGGUAAAUCAGCAGUAAUAAACAUUGGGCCAUAAGUGCAAACUUGACCCAACUACAACAAUGUAGGGCUGGUUAAUUUCGUGCCAGCCACCGCGGUUAUACGAAAAGCCCAAAAUAACGACUGACGGCGUAAAAUGUGACUAGAGAUUCUUACAUUAAGAGUAUUAAAAUUCGCUAACCUGUUGUAAAACACAAGGACAGCGGAGAAAACCUAAACAAAUACUUCUAAUUUUAUAUUCUUGACCACACGAAAGCUUAGAAACAAACUAGGAUUAGAUACCCUACUAUGCUAAGCCCUAAACAUUGAUUGACCCUAUACAAACUUUCCGCCAGAGAACUACAAGUGAAAAACUUAAAACUCAAAGGACUUGACGGUGCCCCACAUCGGCCUAGAGGAGCCUGUCCUGUAAUCGAUACUCCCCGCUCCACCCGACCUUAACUAGUACAUAUACCAGCCUAUAUACCGCCGUCGAUCAGUCUACCCCAUGAGGGUCCAACAGUAGACACAAUAGCCAAGUCGCUAGUACGUCAGGUCAAGGUGUAGCAAAUGUUAAGGAAGAGAUUGGCUACAUUUUUUAUGAUAAAAAACACGAAUAACACCAUGAAACAGUGCAUGAAGGUGAAUUUAGUAGUAAAACAAACAAGAGAGUUUAUUUUAACAACGCCCUGGGACGCGUACACACCGCCCGUCACCCUCCUCAACAACACAAAUUUUAUCUCUAUAAACAAAAAAGUUACAUAGAGGAGGCAAGUCGUAACAUGGUAAGCGCACCGGAAGGUGUGCUUGGACUAAC
rnacentral:ncRNA from 1 species